rnacentral:rRNA from 1 species
UUUAAUUCGAUGCAACGCGAAAAACCUUACCUGGUCUUGACAUCCACAGAAUUUUUUAGAAAUAAAAAAGUGCCCUCGGGAGCUGUGAGACAGGUGCUGCAUGGCUGUCGUCAGCUCGUGUUGUGAAAUGUUGGGUUAAGUCCCGCAACGAGCGCAACCCUUAUCUCUUGUUGCCAUCGGUUCGGCCGGGAACUCAGGAGAGACUGCCGGUUAUAAACCGGAGGAAGGUGGGGACGACGUCAAGUCAUCAUGGCCCUUACGACCAGGGCUACACACGUGCUACAAUGGUUUAUACAAAGAGAAGCAAAUCUGCAAAGACAAGCAAACCUCAUAAAGUAAAUCGUAGUCCGGACUGGAGUCUGCAACUCGACUCCACGAAGUCGGAAUCGCUAGUAAUCGUGGAUCAGAAUGCCA